rnacentral:rRNA from 1 species
AUUGAACGCUGGCGGCCGGCCUAACACAUGCAAGUCGAACGAGUGGCGGACGGGUGAGUAAUGUCUGGGAAACGGCCUGGUGGAGGGGGGUAACUACUUGAAACGGUAGCUAAUACCGCAUACCAUCAGAUGGUCCCAGAUGGGAUUAGCGUGUUGGUGGGGUCACGUCUCACCAAGGCGACGUUCCCUAGCUGGUCUGAGAGGAUGAACAGCAAAACUGGAACUGAGACACGGUCCAGACUCCUACGGGAGGCAGCAGUGGGGAAUAUUGGACAAUGGGGGUAAGCCUGAUGCAGCCAUGCCGGGUGUAUGAAGAAGGCCUGCGAGUUGUAAAGUACUGUCAGCGGGAAGGCGUUACCCGCAGAAGAAGCACCGGCUAACUCCGUGCCAGCAGCCGCGGUAAUUC